CCCAGAUGCUCAAGAAUACACCUCUUUGAUCCAGGUUCGAAGACCUCCCUGAAUCUGCUGGUACCCCUUCCACCUGAUGUUCAGAGACCACCUUACAGAGGAAACAGGAAGAGAUCAUGCUCAGAAAAUACUUCAAGCAUCUUCAUUGACCCUCACGAUUUUCCAACAAUGCUCUUGAGCUGAGAAUAGAGGCCUACGACAUGAGACAUAACAGCACCUGCUCUUACUUGUCUCCAAACAGUGAGGUGUCUCCAGAUAAAAGUCAGUCACCAUCAGAUUAAUCACUAAAGCCACCAGGGAAGAUGCUGUCCGAUCAAACGCGUCUGUUUGUGUAGCGUGUCUGGGACCACCUGCAUGUGCGUAUGUACUGUAAUGCUUUCUUGGCAAAACCAUUUGUAAGCAUAUUGUUUUUUUCCCCCAAGCGGACUUCCCCCUCUUUUGAGGUCGUUGUUUCAUGCGCAGUCGUUCUUUCAGAUGUCUCAUGUUGCCAAAGUGAGAUGUGAAUGGGUUGAAGUUGCCAUACACAAGUGAACAAGAAUGGAAAAUAUGUUCCUGUUCCGAUACCGAGCCCAGAUAAAAGCAGGUGUUUCAGGUGUUUUGGAUAACUGCUGUAUUUAAAGCGGUGGAACAUCCUGUUUGCCAAGCACACUCUGAAAGGCCAAGCGUUCUUCUGGUGUUCCUCUCAAAAAUCAAAGUGUCUCAUUCCUCUUUAUCUUCAUCUUUUUUAUCAGACAGCUGUUUUUCUAACUUUUCAACUUCAUUCUUAAGGAUUAGUUCAUCCAAAAAUGAACAUAUUCUGUUCAUGCACUUCUUUCGUCUGUGGAACAUAAAAAGGACAAGUUUUUAAUAUGUUGGUCAAUUUUCCAUGCGAUUAUAGUGAAUGGAGACUGACAUUUUUGAAAUGUAACAAUCCAAAAGCACCAUAAAAGAAUCGUAAAAGUAAUCCGUAAGUGACUUUUGCGCUGUAUUCCAAGUCUUCUGCAGCCAUACAAUGCCUUUGUAUGAUGAACAGACUAAAACUGUGUCAUUACUCACUCAUAAUCUUGUCCCCAUUGGGUCAUUAACCACUGUGAAUAGACUGAAUCAGUGAGGUGAACUUGAGAACUGAAUCUGUCUGAUUUGUGCAUUUUUGUUUCAAGUGCCGUACCGAUACUAAAUGUGACGUGUAAACACUGCAGAUCACUGAUUGUUCAGAGAGAAUCGUCACUACCAAACCCACUAGAUUUAAAUAGUCAGUAACAGCCACCGCAGUAUCAUUUGUGCGUGAAACAGCUUGCUUUAAAUGACCGUCGCACGCAACUUGAAAAAAGAAAUGGCUGUAUCGUGGUCAGUAAACGAGGUGCAGACUCGCUGGUAGCCUAGGAGCGGAUCCACGGCAGUAGAGGCGGCGCAACUAUACGAUCAGCCUAUAAUCCCACCCACUUGGAAGCGGUACUAAACCGCAGUGGAAAAGCAAACCAAAAGUAAAGCGAGCCGAGCCGAGUCGAGUAGUACCACGCAGUCGAAAAGCGUUUUGGACUGAAUUAUGAACUCUCCAAGUAGAUGUUUUUUCUUCUCUUUUUAAGUGCCUAAUUAUAUGUAAACAAUUAUGCCAAAUGUACUUCGAAAUUUAAAGGCACAAUAUGUAAACUUCGCCGCUAGAGGUCGCUUAUUCAAAACAAAGGCGUAGCUUGAUGAUGCCUUGAUUUUGCGGAAUCAUGGGAGGUGUUGUUUUCACGUCUACAGCCGGUGGAAAAGAAUGCGAUGGGACUCAUAAAAAAAUCAUAUUCAUGGAUGAGCUAAUGUAUUAAAGAUUUAUUAACAUUACUUUAGUAUGAAGCAGGGUGUGGCUGAAAGCCGUUGGAGCGGAACGAGGCUGCUGGAGCGAUUGCUUAUGAGAAACGAGCGCGACACACAUCUUGAGAGCUUUUAUUAUGCCAUAAAUGACCGCUUCCGCUUCUUCCGGUCAUGCGUAUGUGGGGUAAAACGUGGUACUCGAGGUAAAUCAAGAAAACGAGAUUUAAACAAUAAGACUUACUGUGUUGAGCUAUAUAACAUGAUUCAUUUUUUUGUUGAUGAAUGUAUCCAAACAGUUGCUCACCUGUCUAAUAAAACACUUAAUAUAUUAAAGCGUCUUUGGUGUUUCCAUGGUUUGUACAAAAUAAAACCGUAAAUCAAGGGUAACGCGGGUAUGAUGUCAUUGAUUGGCGACGCACGGACAUGGUCCGUGUCCUGCUUAAAAUUGCUUAUUUCUCUGGAUUUAAACAUUCUUGGAAACAUCUGGGAUAAUGUAAGUACACAAGUCAACAAAAUAUAUAACACUGUUCUAGUGGUUUUUGGACAUUUUAAUCCAAAAAUCGUACAUAUUGUGCCUUUAAAUAAUUUUGAAAGAAUAAUGACUUAAUUUUCAGUCUGUUUUUCAUAAACUAUCAUGUGAAUAUAGCACACAAGUCUUACGGACCAUUUUAUGGUGCAUUUUUUCCAUCAUUUUGGCACGCUGGUCCUCAUUCACUUCUAUUGUAUUGAAAAAAGUGGCAAGCGAUCCUUCAAAAACUGACCUUUCAUAUUCCACAGAAGAAAAAAGUCACAAAUUUGGAACAAAUCAUGCCAGAAUUUUAAUUUUCAGGUCAACUAUCCCUUUAAGCAGAAAGCAUGACAUAUUCCAAUUCCAAACAUGCCUGUUUUGAAAAACCAUAACAAGAACUUGAGAUGUUGCUUCACCAUCGUAAUCCUCUUUAUUUCCUUUCUUACGCAGCCAACUUUUCCCUUUGUUGCCAGACUAAUCUAGUGCUAAUAGUCUAGUUAGUCUGUUUCACUUCCACAUUUUUAAUCCCCGAACGGCAAGUCUGCUUCCAUUGUUAAGGGCAGCAGAAAUUGCAUUGAUCCCUUAACCCCGCUAACCCUGCCGAUGACCCCCGGAAGGGAUAGCGUGACUCUUAGGUGAUGAGUGGAGCGGUAGGAAGAAAAGGAGCCUUACAGUCAUGGGGGAAUCUCGUCCCCGAGAGGUCAAAGUCAUGAGGGACCACUAUUAUCCAGAUGAACUCUGUUGUUUGUGACUUCAAAAGCAUUUAAAUACAACAGUAGACUCUCUCAGAGAACCUUUUGUGACCCGGGCCCUUUGUGCCGAGGUCUGGAGGGUGACUGGUUUCACUCAGAGCCGUGACAGGUCUGGUGCUCAGAGACGUUUAUGCGUCUAAUGUUACCCGAGCAGCUCCGGUAUUAGGGCCUGAUGACGAGCGAGAAAAACAGCGAGGCCGCUUCAUUUACCUCUAACAAAAACACAAAUAAGAAUGAGCGGAGGGACACAACGGUUAAACAGUCUUCAAUCUGGACUCCUGUUAUUGGAAAAUAAUAGCUUUGUGAAAAGGAAGUAAUCUAGAGCGCCUUUAAUCAAUUUCUGCUAGAUGAGCGAUCUGGGAUGAAAGCUCUGGGAUGGGGUCGCCAGCUCCAGACAUUGUGGGCUGGUUGGUAUAUAGGAAGGAUGGGCUUUAAUUUGUCUUUUCAGGGUGUCCAGGCAUCUUUAAAGGCUUAAUUGUUACCAUAGACAGCCUUGAUGCCAUGUGUUUGCGGAAAUGGUUUCAAGGCCUGCUGUGGUAAAAUCACUGACCACUGACUAAACGGUGAGCGCUGUAUAGGUUAAAAGCCCAUUCCAGUGCCAUUACACAAAUAUUUCAUCAGGUUCCGGUUUCUGUGUAACAUUACCCAUGCAAGCUGAAUGUGGCAGAGGAAUAAAGCAUCUGUAAAAUUGUGGAUCAAUGUGAUUAAUUGCUAACUUAAACUUUAAACAUUAGCUUUGCUGCUUGGUGGUGCAGUGAAAAUUCAUUUUUCUUUCUUCAUUCAGUAAUGCAACAAUAAAUCGCACAACAAAAACGCAUCUGAUGCCUUAUACCGCGAGGAUGAUCAUCUAAUCGCUCAAUCCUCUCUUGUUGCAUCCACAACUAACGAAAGUCUAAGAAGUCACUUUGUGCGCGAUCCCGCAAGGUCCAGGGUCAGAUAAACACACACUGUUUGGCGAGACAUCAUUUCUUUCUUGUGGUUAUGAUGUAAACUCCCAUUGUGGGAUUUGCACUGAGAGGGGAAACUCAGCCUGGGUUUUGUUCAGAACGCAAAAGAGUGGUAAUCCCUGCACCUGAGGCCAUUUUCAGGGAGGUUCCUGUAAGCCGAGAGCGAUCCCAGAACAUCUCAGAUGAGCUGCUACAAUACAGACCUGCCAUCUUGAGAUCCAUUACCAGAGCCGGCUCUGAAAGGAAUGUCAAGAAUUCCGAUGCUCUUUCACUUGAAGAAAAAAGGAAAAGCUGAUAAGUCUAUUGUUGCUUAAGUUUUAUUUGCAACUCCAGUGGCGGGAACUGCAUAUGUCUGCAGGCGUUUCUGAUGACCUCCAUAAAGUGACGUGAUAUUUCAGGUCAAAGCAAUGCUUUGUAGUGAAUAUUUCAACAUUUUAAAUAAAAAGCAGGUAUCUAUUAUAGCUGUAACUGAGAUUGUCUACAAAUGUUUCUGACAAACUUCAAAAGUAAAAACCUGAUAAUUUCUUAUGUUUUUGGUGUGUUUUCCACUGCCAGAAUCUAUAAACAUCUACAAACAUUUCUGACAAAAACUAUGAAGCAAUGUGGAAAGUCACCAUAAUUGAGAAGCAAUCAUUAGCAAAUGCUUUAGUCCAAAUUUCAAGUAAGAAGCUGAUAAUUCUAUUAUUAUGUACUUUUUUUAUAUAUACUCCAGUGGCAACAUUUGCAUAAGUUUCUGACAAACUGCAUAAAGCAAUGCCAGAAUUUAUGAUUAUUGAGAUGCUUUUCAAAAAGUAAUUCAACAUAUAUUUUAAUGAAAAAGCUGAUGAUUCCUAAUUUCUGCACUUACAGUUGUGGAAACUGCAAAUGUCUGCAAACCUCCAUGCAGCUCCAAAAUGCGAUGUGAUAAUUCAAUGGAAUUGAGAAAAAAAAAAUUACCAAAUGAAUUGUAAUGAGUAUUUCAAGUAAAAACCUGUCAUGAAAUCUGAUUUUUUGUUCCCACUGUCAGGACCUCCUAAACUGUACAAAUGGCAAUGACGAAGACCAUGAUGCAACACACACAGAGCAGGACCUUUCUCCCAUGAGUCAGAGAGAAAAGACUCAGAAAUUGGAAUGUCAACGGGAUAAUCCUCAUGUUGCUGCUGAUGGAUCCUCUUGACCUUUGACUGCCAAAUAUAAGGCGGCGCGUAAACACAAAGGAGGUGUUGCUGGAGGCGUUCGGCUCUUUUGAAGAUGACCGCAGAUGAGUUCGGCAUGCCAUCCAACAAAAAAAUGGUGGGAGUCUUGCUAUAGGGCGGCCUGAAGCAUGUGGAGAACACUUGAAUAUAUAUAUAUUAUUAUACAAGUAUUUAAUCUCAAAACAGUGUGGGACGUGGAUCUUUCAAUGGUCUGAAUUCCUUCUCCAUGUGCGAGAAAUCUGCCCUCCGCAACCUGCAGUUCAAAACUCUCAACUGUAACAAAUGUCUGUGGAUUAGUAGGCUGUAACCAUGGCUAUAGGAACAGGAAGGAACCGACUCCAAAAGCACUAGAAACGUCUAAACUAACAUGGGCACGGCAGAAGUUCAACUGACACUCGAUAAAGUGUGCGAAACAUUCAAAUAUUUACUUUUAUUCCUAGCUCGGAAACAGAUUUACCAUAGAAGCUUAAAUUACAAUCCAUAAAUCUUAUUUCCUGUCACUUCUUGCCUCAAGCAUUGCAUCUAACUUAAACAGUUUACUGUUGUUUUCGAAAUGUCAAAAGUCAAGUAUCAGGAAAAUAUUGACAGUAAGCUAUUCACUUUCCAAAUUGCAACCGAAAGUUUUACCUCCAAAUAAAACAACCAGACACAUAAUUGCCAAGGCAAGCAAGUGACAGCAAGUUUUGCAUGCAAGCAAUAAAACUUUCUACAAAAUGUGUAGUUUUUAAAGUAUGUACUAAGAAAUGUGAAUAAAAAUGGUUUGGAUCAGGAUAUUAAGGCGGCAUCUAAUGGGUAAUCGUUAUUAAUCAGACAAAAAAUUUAAAUGUUGUUAUAUAUUUCAAAAAUAUUAAAAUAAAUGUUUACUUCAAAUGUUUUAUAAAAUUUUGUUGUUUAUGUUUAUUAAAUGUUAUAUUUUAUUAGUUUUUUGGUAACACUUUACAAUAAUGUCUCAUUUGUUUACAUUAGUUAAUGCUUUAGAUAACAUAAACUAACAAUGAACAAUUUAUUUAUUUGAUAAUAUUAGUUAAAGGGGUCAUAUAAUGCCACUUUUACAAGAUGUAAAAUAAGUCUCUGAUGUCCCCCGAGUGUGUAUGUGAAGUUUUAGCUCAAAAUACCCCACAGAUCUUUUUUACAGCAUGUUGAAAUUUGUCACUUUUUGAUGGUGAGCAAAAACGGUCCUUUGUGUGUGUCCCUUUAAAUGCAAAUGAGCUGCUGCUCUCAAGAAGAGGGUGGAGUUUCAAGAGCUCAUGUUAGCAGCUACGAUUACCUCAUGCAGACUCACUGAAAAUGUCAGAAACUGUUCAGCCUUUUAUGUUCAAACCAGAGUCUGACAAUGAGACUCAAGAGACUCAAGAAGAAGUGACAACAUGUAGAAUGCAACAGGACGUUUCUGAAUGGUUAGUUGAUGAAUUUAUGUAGCUGAUGUGGAGUUAACUAUCUUAAAGUCAUUGAUUAGCAUAUUCUGUCAUGAUAAUCUAUAAAUUGCUCGUGUGGGAACUGUUUUAAAAUGCCUACAGAGCCAGAGAAUAUAUGCUGCAUGAAGAUACAACAGGUAUAAUGGUUAUAACUUAUGUUGUCAUCUUGCUUUUAUGACAUGCUAUUGCAUUACUGACCCUCGUUUGUGAAGCAGUCUCACGUAAAUGACAGCAUGGUAACAACACUCUACUACAACAACUCUUCCUCUUCUCUAAAGCAGCUCAACAUGGCCUCACCCCCUUUUUUUGCGUGUUCUCGGGGACAGGGUUUAUGUAAAUUUUAGGGUUAGUGAUGUCACUAAGCCGGGAAGAAGCUCGUUGUAGUCCCUACCAGCCAUUUGUUGUAGUCCUUAAAAAGCGAUUUCUGUAAAAGAAAAUAUCUCCCUUUGCACUGAACUUUGAACAUCGUAACUUUGCAGAUUGUUUAACUCUAACAGCAACAUUACACUGACUAAAGUUAAAAAAGUGAAAUCAUAUUAAUAAAUGCUUUAGAAGUAUUUUUUAUUGUUAUAAUGUAGUUAACUAAUGUUAACAAAUGAAACCUUUUUAAAUAUGUUGCAGGCGUACAAGAUAUUCUACCAAAAAAAAAAAAAAAAAACUAUUUACCACAUUUCUUGAGUAUCUCAGUGCUGAGAGGAGCCCUCCAAAAUGAUCUAUAUUUCAGCAUGCAUGGAGGGCUCUGGAAAUCCAUGCCAAAAAAUGUCAGGGGCUUGUCAUCAAUUCUUCUGAUUUGUCAUCAGCCUUAUCAGAUUUUGCAGUGCAUCUCCUUCCUGAGUGUGAAUGGAAAAAUGGAAUUCAUUCAUUCAGCGUUGGAAACUGUAUGGCCGCUUCGCUUCUGUGUGUCUUUGACUCUGGAUAAACAAAAAUGGAUUUUGAAAAAUGCCAGAUCUCUUCCAGAUGGUUUCACACAACACCUCGCUUUGCCAUUUGAGCCCUGUGUCUAAGAACGCGACUCAAUGUGGCACUCAGUGCGUGGCGUCCCUUGAGACCUGUACAAUAACAAAUCAUUUUUCACAACGAUCUUUUGUUUAACACUUACUUGCUACUGAGAUAUAUGUGAACUACAACAAACAAUUACAAACCAUCUGAACAUUAACUCAUUUGUCAUGAUGUUUAAACAAAUCUGAUGGCUUAUUUACUGGGCUACUAUGAGUAGUUAACCAAAAAAAUGACAUUAUGUCAUUUUUGGUUUGUUUGUUUGUUUGUGUUUGGCGUUCCAAAUCCUAUCUUUCAUCCGUGGAAUGUACUGUUUGUUUUUUUCUAUAAAAUUAGGGUCACCCUUUAGAUUAGGCUCCAAUUCUCA